rnacentral:rRNA from 1 species
GAUCCUGGCUCAGGAUGAACGCCGGCGGCGUGCUUAACACAUGCAAGUCGAACGGGAAAUACUUUAUUGAAACUUCGGUCGAUUUAAUCUAUUUCUAGUGGCGGACGGGUGAGUAACGCGUGGGUAACCUGCCUUAUACUGGGGGAUAACAGCCAGAAAUGACUGCUAAUACCGCAUAAGCGCACGGGGCCGCAUGGUCCUGUGUGAAAAACUCCGGUGGUAUAAGAUGGACCCGCGUUGGAUUAGCUAGUUGG